rnacentral:misc_RNA from 1 species
GUACCUUCAAGCUUUGCUUGGUGUUGGGCGUCUUGUCUUUUAUUAGACUCGCCUUAAAGUCAUUGGCAGCCAGUGUUUUUGGUAGUAAGCGCAGCACAUUUUGCGUCUUAGUCCCUGAAUCGUGGCAUCCAUGAAGCCUCUUUUUUCAC